rnacentral:rRNA from 1 species
GAUGAACGCUGGCGGCGUGCCUAAUACAUGCAAGUCGAGCGAACAGAUGAGGAGCUUGCUCCUCUGACGUUAGCGGCGGACGGGUGAGUAACACGUGGAUAACCUACCUAUAAGACUGGGAUAACUUCGGGAAACCGGAGCUAAUACCGGAUAAUAUAUUGAACCGCAUGGUUCAAUAGUGAAAGACGGUUUUGCUGUCACUUAUAGAUGGAUCCGCGCCGCAUUAGCUAGUUGGUAAGGUAACGGCUUACCAAGGCAACGAUGCGUAGCCGACCUGAGAGGGUGAUCGGCCACACUGGAACUGAGACACGGUCCAGACACCUACGGGAGGCAGCAGUAGGGAAUCUUCCGCAAUGGGCGAAAGCCUGACGGAGCAACGCCGAGUGAGUGAUGAAGGUCUUCGGAUCGUAAAACUCUGUUAUUAGGGAAGAACAAAUGUGUAAGUAACUAUGCACGUCUUGACGGUACCUAAUCAGAAAGCCACGGCUAACUACGU